UGGGGAAUUUUGGACAAUGGGCGCAAGCCUGAUCCAGCAAUGCCGCGUGCAGGAUGAAGGCCUUCGGGUUGUAAACUGCUUUUGUACGGAGCGAAAAGGUCUGCUCUAAUACGGUGGGCUCAUGACGGUACCGUAAGAAUAAGCACCGGCUAACUACGUGCCAGCAGCCGCGUUAAUACGUAGGGUGCGAGCGUUAAUCGGAAUUACUUGGCUUAAAGCGUGCGCAGGCGGUUAUAUAAGACAGAUGUGAAAUCCCCGGGCUCAACCUGGUACCUGCAUUUGUGACUGAAUCGCUGGAGUGGGGCAGAGGGGGAUGGAAUUCCGCGUGUAGCAGUGAAAUGCGUAGAUAUGCGAAGGAACACCGAUGGCGAAGGCAAUCCCCUGGGCCUGCACUGACGCUCACGCACGAAAGCGUGGGGAGCAAACA
rnacentral:rRNA from 1 species